GUUGGGUAGGGGAGCGUUCUGUAAGCCUGUGAAGGUGUAUCGUGAGGUAUGCUGGAGGUAUCAGAAGUGCGAAUGCUGACAUAAGUAACGAUAAAGCGGGUGAAAAGCCCGCUCGCCGGAAGACCAAGGGUUCCUGUCCAACGUUAAUCGGGGCAGGGUGAGUCGACCCCUAAGGCGAGGCCGAAAGGCGUAGUCGAUGGGAAACAGGUUAAUAUUCCUGUACUUGGUGUUACUGCGAAGGGGGGACGGAGAAGGCUAUGUUGGCCGGGCGACGGUUGUCCCGGUUUAAGCGUGUAGGUGUGUGUUCCAGGUAAAUCCGGUUCACUUUAACACUGAGGCGUGAUGACGAGGCACUACGGUGCUGAAGYAACAAAUGCCCUGCUUCCAGGAAAAGCCUCUAAGCAUCAGGUAACAUCAAAUCGUACCCCAAACCGACACAGGUGGUCAGGUAGAGAAUACCAAGGCGCUUGAGAGAACUCGGGUGAAGGAACUAGGCAAAAUGGUGCCGUAACUUCGGGAGAAGGCACGCUGAUAGGUAGGUGAAGCGAUUUACUCGUGGAGCUGAAAUCAGUCGAAGAUACCAGCUGGCUGCAACUGUUUAUUAAAAACACAGCACUGUGCAAACACGAAAGUGGACGUAUACGGUGUGACGCCUGCCCGGUGCCGGAAGGUUAAUUGAUGGGGUUAUCCGUAAGGAGAAGCUCUUGAUCGAAGCCCCGGUAAACGGCGGCCGUAACUAUAACGGUCCUAAGGUAGCGAAAUUCCUUGUCGGGUAAGUUCCGACCUGCACGAAUGGCGUAAUGAUGGCCAGGCUGUCUCCACCCGAGACUCAGUGAAAUUGAACUCGCUGUGAAGAUGCAGUGUACCCGCGGCAAGACGGAAAGACCCCGUGAACCUUUACUAUAGCUUGACACUGAACACUGGUCCUUGAUGUGUAGGAUAGGUGGGAGGCUUUGAAGCGCGGACGCCAGUUCGUGUGGAGCCRUCCUUGAAAUACCACCCUUUAAUGGCUGGUGUUCUAACGUAGGCCCGUAAUCCGGGUUGCGGACAGUGUCUGGUGGGUAGUUUGACUGGGGCGGUCUCCUCCUAAAGAGUAACGGAGGAGCACGAAGGUUAGCUAAUCCUGGUCGGACAUCAGGAGGUUAGUGCAAAGGCAUAAGCUAGCUUGACUGCGAGCGUGACGGCGCGAGCAGGUGCGAAAGCAGGUCUUAGUGAUCCGGUGGUUCUGAAUGGAAGGGCCAUCGCUCAACGGAUAAAAGGUACUCCGGGGAUAACAGGCUGAUACCGCCCAAGAGUUCAUAUCGACGGCGGUGUUUGGCACCUCGAUGUCGGCUCAUCACAUCCUGGGGCUGAAGUAGGUCCCAAGGGUAUGGCUGUUCGCCAUUUAAAGUGGUACGCGAGCUGGGUUUAGAACGUCGUGAGACAGUUCGGUCCCUAUCUGCCGUGGGCGCUGGAGAAUUGAGGGGGGCUGCUCCUAGUACGAGAGGACCGGAGUGGACGCAUCACUGGUGUUCGGGUUGUCAUGCCAAUGGCACUGCCCGGUAGCUAAAUGCGGAAGAGAUAAGUGCUGAAAGCAUCUAAGCACGAAACUUGCCCCGAGAUGAGUUCUCCCUGAC
rnacentral:rRNA from 1 species